GAUAAACGCUGGCGGCGUGCCUAAUGCAUGCAAGUCGAACGGAUAGUUUUCUUCGGAAGAUUAUUAGUGGCAAACGGGUGAGUAACACGUGGGGAUCUGCCCAGUAGUGGGGAACAACUCCUCGAAAGAGGAGCUAAUACCGCAUACGGUCUCUCUUAGCCGAGAAGACUAAAGCCUUUCGGGGCGCUAUUGGAGGAACCUGCGGCUGAUUAGCUAGUUGGUGAGGUAAAGGCCUACCAAGGCGAUGAUCAGUAGCUGGUCUGAGAGGAUGGACAGCCACACUGGGACUGAGAUACGGCCCAGACUCCUACGGGAGGCAGCAGCAAGGAAUUUUCGUCAAUGGGGGAAACCCUGAACGAGCAACGCCGCGUGGGCGAAGAAGUCCU
rnacentral:rRNA from 1 species